rnacentral:rRNA from 1 species
AGUGAACGCUGGCGGUAGGCCUAACACAUGCAAGUCGAACGGCAGCACAGUAAGAGCUUGCUCUUACGGGUGGCGAGUGGCGGACGGGUGAGGAAUACAUCGGAAUCUACUUUUUCGUGGGGGAUAACGUAGGGAAACUUACGCUAAUACCGCAUACGACCUACGGGUGAAGGCAGGGGAUCUUCGGACCUUGCGCGAUUGAAUGAGCCGAUGUCGGAUUAGCUAGUUGGCGGGGUAAAGGCCCACCAAGGCGACGAUCCGUAGCUGGUCUGAGAGGAUGGUGGGGCACAAUGGAACUUAGACACGGUCCAGACUCCUACGGGAGGCAGCAGUGGGGAAUAUUGGACAAGGGGCGCAAGCCUGAUCCAGCCAUACCGCGUGAGUGAAGAAGGCCUCCGGGUUGUAAAGCCCUUUUGUUGGGAAAGAAAAGCAGCAGGUUAAUACCCCGCUGGUCUGCCGGGACCCAAAGAAUAAGCACCGGCUAACUUCGUG